UGCAGUCGAGCGGUAGCACAGAGAGCUUGCUCUCGGGUGACAAGCGGCGGACGGGUGAGUAACGCGUAGGAAUCUACCUAAUAGUGGGGGAUAGCCCAGGGAAACUUGGAUUAAUACCGCAUACGCCCUAAGGGGGAAAGCGGGGGAUCUUCGGACCUCGUGCUAUUAGAUGAGCCUGCGUAAGAUUAGCUAGUUGGUGAGGUAAGAGCUCACCAAGGCGACGAUCUUUAGCUGGUCUGAGAGGAUGAUCAGCCACACUGGGACUGAGACACGGCCCAGACUCCUACGGGAGGCAGCAGUGGGGAAUAUUGGACAAUGGGGGAAACCCUGAUCCAGCCAUCCCGCGUGAGUGAAGAAGGCCUUCGGGUUGUAAAGCUCUUUCGAAAGUGUAGAAAACUUAUUUCGUAAUAUGUUAUAAGUAUGACGGUAACUUUAGAAGAAGCACCGGCUAACUACGUGCCAGCAGCCGCGGUAAUACGUAGGGUGCGAGCGUUAAUCGGAAUUACUGGGCGUAAAGCGUGCGCAGGCGGUUUUGUAAGUCAGAUGUGAAAUCCCCGAGCUUAACUUGGGAACUGCGUUUGAAACUACAAGACUAGAGUGUGUCAGAGGGGGGUAGAAUUCCACGUGUAGCAGUGAAAUGCGUAGAGAUGUGGAGGAAUGCC
rnacentral:rRNA from 1 species